rnacentral:lncRNA from 1 species
GCCUCUGAGCCACACACAGGCUCAGCCCUCGAGCAGCCCUGAGGUCCACAGGGUCUGCAGGGCCACCCAGUUCUAGAUUAUACUUCCCGGCUCCACGGUCUGGAAGGUCUAAACCUUAGAGUGGCCCCAAGUGCUAAAGUUGCCUCUACCUAGCAGUGCAUGUGCCCUCACCAAGUCCCCCACUGCCAGGUGGGGGCAGGGUCAUGGGGCAAUCCCCUGCUCUACACCUGGCUUGACCUGGAGCCUCCUGAAGACACAGCCCAGACUCGGAUCCAGCCUGGGAGAGCUGUUCCUGCCAGUGCCCUGAGCCUUGCGUCCUGGUGGGCCAGGAGCCAGUGUCCUGGGUCCUCCCUGAUUCUUUUGGUCCAGCCUCCCAGAG